rnacentral:rRNA from 1 species
AUGGUGGGCGCACAAAAUGUUGGUAUAAGCAACGGCUCCUACUUUAUAUGCAACAGCUUGGCAGAUUAUGAUGCAUCAAAAGCAAGGGAUGUGUUUACUGUCAAUAAGAAGUGGUUAGAAGAUAGUGUCAAAGAAUGGGAAAUACUAUCUGUUGACGUCUACGUUUCAUGGCCUAGGAGAGCAACCUCAAGGAAAUAUAGAACUCCAAUAAAGGACAAUACUGCUAUGAACAGUGACAGGGAAGCACCAUCGACAGCAAAGAAGGUUAAAACACGAUCUCCAGAACAGAGUGAUUCAGUCAAAAAGGAAGCAUCAUCGACAGGAAAGAAGGCUAAAAUUCGAUCUCCAGAGGAGAGAGAUAUAGUCAAAAGACAAGCUCUGUCCACAGGAUGCAUGAAGACGUACCCUCCAGCAGAAGAGCAUGCUGCAUCACUUUGCAAACGGCGCUUGAAUUUCGACUGGAGGCGGCUCUCAGACUACAAGCCAAGUGAAAUGGUGGUGCAGGUGCAAAUACCCAGAAGCAACAUGGAGAAGAAAAUUGGGACAGAUGAAUUCAAGGGUGCCCUGUCAGGUUCCUAUGCAGAAAUGGCAAAUAUCCAUAGUGGAGGACAAUGCAUAAAGAACACAAUCAGCGCAAGUAGCUUCAGGGUGUCAAGGAAUUCAGGGGAAGUGAUAAUGGAUAAGCCUCAGUUAGUGGAAUAUGAAGAAAAGCUCGCCCUUGCCAACAGAAAGCAGUUUGUGCUGAUGGUGCAGGCGCACUUCAAGGAAAAGUGCUGCUCACUGCCAGAUGAUAUCGCCGAGUGGCUGGCUUGCAUUAUUGAUGUCGGGAAGGUGUCAGACAGAGUGCUGAAGAACCACAUAAACAUGCAGCACCCCGUUGAUAUCUAUGGUAGCUUUGUCGCCAUGUACUACAUCUUGAUGAGGCUGAAGGAGGAAGAUUUUACUCAGUUUGUCCAGAUAAUGAACUCAAACAUCAUGAGAAAGUACAUACCUUGGGUGCAAAACUUCAGAUGGAAGUUACUGAACGAUACGGUGAAAUAUAUACACCCCAAAAUGGCCGAGCUAAACAACCUGAGGAGCCAAGUCAGUAACUCUGGAGCAAUAGGACAGGCUGUGAUCUACAAACCGAAGAAAAGGGAUCCUGACCUUUCCGGGAUACUGGAGGUGGUACGGGACUGUUUUACUCACCCUGCAAUGAUCCAUCAGGUUUUUCUGCUGCCGGUGCUGUUAGCCGAGGGGUACCCCAGGCUACUUUUCGAUCUUCAAAGGAAGCUGUUUGAGUUGGGGCAUCUUAUGAAUCUCAGGUGA